rnacentral:hammerhead_ribozyme from 1 species
AUACAGCCGAAGAGUCUCAAACAAGGACGAAACAGCUGUCCAGUAA